rnacentral:rRNA from 1 species
CAGUAGCCGCGGGAAUACGUAGGUGGCAAGCGUUGUCCGGAAUUAUUGGGCGUAAAGGGCUCGCAGGCGGUUUCUUAAGUCUGAUGUGUAAGCCCCCGGCUCAACCGGGGAGGGUCAUUGGAAACUGGGAAACUUGAGUGCAGAAGAGGAGAGUGGAAUUCCACGUGUAGCGGUGAAAUGCGUAGAGAUGUGGAGGAACACCAGUGGCGAAGGCGACUCUCUGGUCUGUAACUGACGCUGAGGAGCGAAAGCGUGGGGAGCGAACAGGAUUAGAUACCCCAGUAGUCCCUGUCUCUUAUAC